CCACAGUCAAGAAUGCUCCUGAAGCAGACGAUGCCCCUUCCGACAUUAUUAUCAGAUCAGAGGUGGCCCAGCCCUAGGUCACAGUGCCGACGUCACUCCCCUGACUUUGUCUCAUCACGUGGGCAUUUUAUCAUCUCACAUCAUCACAAGAACAAGGGGUUUGGUGCCGUCUGCAGUUUCAGGCAUCUGCGGAGUGUUUUGGAACGUAUCCUCCAUGGAUAAAGGAGCUACUGUAUGCAGACUGUGCACUACUGAGGUUGUGUCCAUUGUAAGUUACAACUGUAAAUUUAAGGCAAACAAAAUGGACUGGGAAGUUAUGGGAUGAGAGCCUGCAGAUCACACCACAAAAAGGGUAGGUAAAAAGCAGUUCUGUGGGUCCAUGAAGCAGCAGACCCGGCUCAUCUGUUUAGGAAACCUCUAUGGGAGAAAGCAGCUGGACCCAUCUUCAGUCCCUGUGUUAUCCUCCCUUGACAUUCAGAUCCCAGGAGAAGGGCGUCUGAUUAGUUUGGCUGGGAUCAUAUGCCCUCCUUUUAGCCAAAAAUAGUUGUAUCGACAGUUAUAAAGACGGUGUUUAGUGCGGGUUGGGGGAGGGGAUCAAAACCAAACCUGGGUUCUGAUUCUAGAAAAAGAAGAGGUAAAUGUUGGGCAGAUCAAAACAUCCAAUCUCCGGAGCACCUGGCUGGCUCAGUAGGUAGAACGUGUGGACCCUUGAUCUUGAGCUUGUAGGUUCAAGCCCCAUGUUAGGUCGUAGAGAUUACUUAAAAAUAAAAUCUUUAGAAAAAAGGUGUCCACCAGAAAGUCCUGUAACAGCAAACGAUGGAAAUGAGAAUUGAAAGAAUUAAUAGAUAUUCCACCAAAGCAGGUAAGCACAGAACCACAAUGUGGGGCUGCCCCUGAGUGCCAUGGCAGGCAGGCGUCAGAGAAGCCAGCAGGCAGUGAGCUAAGAUGUUAAGGAGAGCUCGGACAACUUACAGUUUCUUCUUCUUUUUUCUUCUAGUCGGACUCUUGGCUAAGCUACUCACUACUACUGAUAGCCAUCUCUUAGCAGCAGGGCCAUUUCCUGUCUGUUCUGGAAAGCUCUGGAAUCCAGUGGCUUUGACUAAGUGGUCUGAAGAGAACUGUUGUGAGCAAAGCGCCUUGACACCCCCUUGGUGCUUCCCCAGAAGCAUCUGCUGUGUGGCCCUUGCUAAGGCCAUGAGCUCCAGCCAGUGUUUCAGAGGAAAUGAGGAAAGACUGACUAAAAGACUGCUCCCCAAACUCAUUCUGAGGCACCUGCUCUAUAUCUGUUCUCUGAUUUCAUGCUGGCAGCUGGUCAGCAGGCUGAGCAUGAUUAACACCAUCUGUCAGUCGAAGCGACUGAGAUUGAUGAAGUGACCUGCCUGGUGACAAGUGGGAGAGCUGGGAUUUGAACCUAGGACCAGUGAGCUCCAAAGACCCUGCUUGACUGCUGGACUGGGGCCCACCCCAGGGGUCAGUUCAGCCUAGACACACCACGUAACUUCCCUGGGUUUCCCCCACCUGCAAACCAAGGAGCUGAAAGCUAAGUGAGAGGAUCGUCUCCUGCCCUCAUUCAGAAGCGUCCCAGACAGCGACGGGUGGGUGCCGCCAAUGAGGCCCAGGCCACAUUGAGUGUUAAGAAGAGAUGACUGAUUGAAGUGGCUUUCAGCAGAGAAGCCAGCCCACCACAGGCUGGAGGCAAGACCUAAGUAUGUGAGUCACCCCGACCUCUCCCUGCCACCAGAGGGGACCGGGACAACCCGUGUCUGGUCUCCUCGGGUCCCUACCCCCACCCUCAAGGGUGUCUCAGAACCAAGGCACAGACUCCACCGAGAUUAGGACUACGUGCUCAGACGCACACACAGACUUUGCAAACAAUGCAGGGAAAUAAAGUUCUCACAGGAAACAUUAUCAUACUGACUCACGACAGACCCAUCCAUAAAACAAACUCCUGGUACCUGGGGCCGCCUCAGAGAGCAGUGGCCUGGGAGAUAGGCCCACUCUCUCCUGGGCCCUGGAGGAAGUGGGUGCCGCCAGGGGGAGGGGCAGCUUCCCCUGCCCGCUCUGACGCCUGCCUGGGAUCUGAAUUAUCUGUCAGAGGGAGAAAAAUGAUUAUUUUUAAAAAGAAACACAAGUCCCAGAGCAUCCCGGCCUCUUCGCCUUGUCACAAGAGCUCUGUUGCAAAAAAACCUCUCCUGAUGUCGUGGUAUUUUGCAAGUCAUUUGCCAUGCCAAUGCAGAAAACAUUAUGGUCCCCAGAGGCCUGUGUCCUCACCAGUCCUUGCCUUGCAAAGCAGGCUUGACUGUUGCCAGUGUGGAAAGACAUUUUGAUCCAAGUCUGUUUUCAGAUCAGAGAAGUCAGGUUGGUGCAUCAUGGAGACAUCCGACGGACAGCUAUUACUUGUUAGGAGCCUCAGCACCUCAUCUGCAAAAUGGGAACAGUCAUAAGAAAAGAAAGUAAGAAAAUGUAUGUUUAUCACAUGGCGCAGUGUUCGUUUUCCUGACCUGCUGUGAGACGCAGCCUGGAAAAGGGCCUUGGGAAUCUGAAGACCCUCAUCCAAGUCUUGACCCUACCUACCCCUUCUUAAUCCUGGGAGCCUUGGCAAGCUGGGCCUCAUCCGUACCUCAAUUUCCAACUCUGGAAAAGCAAAGGCUUUGACCAGUCCUGACAUGUCCGGCCCCCAGGGUGCGAUGUGGCUGUGAGGCGAGCUGGGUCAUCAGCCAGGUUUAGGAUUUGGGGUCAUGAGGAGCUUGAGUACCAAGGAGUUGGAGUGUUCUGGUUGUUCCGGUCUCCACUGAGCCCUGGCCAUUUUCCCAUCCUAGAAUAAGAAUGAUGGGACACCUGGGUGGCUCAGUGGGUUAAGCCUCUGCCUUCGGCUCAGGUCAUGAUCUCAGGAUUCUGGGAUCGAGCCCCGCAUCGGGCUCUCUGCUUGGCAGGGAGCCUGCUUCCUCCUCUCUCUCUCUCUGCCUGCCUCUCUGCCUACUUGUGAUCUCUAUCAAAUAAGUAAAUAAAAUCUUUAAAAAAAAAAGAAUGACACAUGGUGUCAUGGUCCAUUCCAUGGACACCAUGUGUCCAGGA